AGAAGACAAGGUCAGGCCUGUGGUGGGACAAGCACAGGCUUCUGUUCCUCAACAGGGAACACAAAGUGAGCUGCGCGGGGCUGGAGCUCAGUCAAAGGGGCCCUCUCUGCUGCUGAAGGCGCCUCUCAGCAGUACACACAGGAGCUAUCAGGAGACACACCAGGCAAAGGCUAGACAUGGCCACACAUCAAUACCAACUUGAUUUAAACACAUGGAGAUCACAGCCCUUAACAAGUACAGUGAAGAAACAGACACUACUGGCCCUCUAUCUGGAGACCCGAUCUUGUCUGUGGGGACAGUGAGAGGCAGAGGAAGCGGAGCCUGAGCUCUGAAAGAAGCCUCUGAGAGCCCCAUGUACUAUGAGAUGACUCAGCACUGUAGGGCACGUCUGCACCAUGGAAGGCGGGCGUGAGAAUGGAGCCACGCUUGGCAUCAGAAGAGGCUGGUACCUGAG